UGUCAAGUCUGGGUUUUGUUUUCUUUAUGCUUAAAUACUUAAAGUUUCCAUUUUUAUUUUCAGCUAUUAUUAUCUGGUUUUGGUUUUUCCUGUUGAACUUUUGUUUCAUCGGUUUUGGUUUUUGUUGUCGAGAUUUUGUUUCAUUGAUGCAUGUUGUGUUUCGCAAGGAAUGUUGUUUGUUUUCACUGUUUUGGUUUUCGCUCUUGAGCUUUUGUUCCAUGCAUGCACUGUGUGUUUCGCACGGAUUGUUGUUUCAAUAUGCAUGUUUGGUUACACAUGCAUGUUUUUUGGUGGUGUUGUUGUUGAUUUGUUGUUCACAAAUGUUUUCGGCUUUGUUUGUGGUUUUUCAAUAACAAUAACUGAUAUCUUUGAUGUUGUUUGGUAUUUGACAGACGCAUGAUGACGAUGUGUCAAAUGUUUCCUAAUAUCUAUGCAUGUUUAGUUGUUACCUUUUUUCCCAAUUCUGGCUUACCUGAGGUCAUUUGGUGUAUGCUUUGGUUGUGUUAUAGGCAGGGUCAAGAAGAUCGCCGAAUAGGUAAGUCUUUCAGAGAAGCAUGAGCUGACCUAUAAUUGCAAUGCGUUUAAUGUUUUCUAUGUCUAUGCAUAUUUGGUUGUAUCUUUGUUAAUUUUAUUUGGUGUAUGUUUUGGUUGUUAUUUAGGCAAGGUGAAGGAGAUCACAAAAAGGGUAAAAUGUAUCUAUAUUUUGUAUUCUAUAUUCUAUGUCUAUCUAUAUUCUCUCUAUAUCUAUACUAAGUCUUAUCCAAGAGAUGUAUAGGGAAAAGACUAUUGUGCACAUGCUUGAACUGCUGACAUGUGUUGAAUUUUGCUUUCUUAGUUUGCUUGGUUAACAUUAUGCUUGCCACGAGGGCACAAAAACGGUUCUGUAUAGCCAUCUAUUUUCUUAUGGCACUAAAUGCAAGCUGCAUAACACCAUGAGUGAUUGUCCAUAACAAUGGUUGUUAAUUUGUGAUUGUACCAAUAGUUAGACAAAUAAACUCCUGCAGGAAAUAUCACAGGUGUAAAAUUCAGCAAGAGGCAGGCAAAGAAGCGAUUAACAAAACCUAGAGGCUAUGAACUCCACUGGGAAGGGCGUGUCAAAACUGAGCGGGUCUCAAUGCCCAAUUCUGAAAGUCUUCCAUUUUGUGGUAUCUUGAGUUCCAGUUUAGUUUACCUCCUGCUGACACGUGCAAUUUUGUGUUCUCCAUAUGAGCAGAUCCAACUUAUGCUUCUAUUUCUGCCUGUUGGAGGAUGCUAUUCAUCCUUAGUUAGCAAUUCUUUGCUAGCUUCUAAGUUGGCAAUUAAUCAGCCGGUGGAAUGGAAGCAACAAUUAAAUCAAAGGUUUUGUUGCAUGCAUUUGCUGAAUUUGCAUUUAUUUCACGGUUCCUAUCCUUCAUUAGCUGGCAAUUGUUUUCAGCCAAUUAUCUCAUAGGAUGCAUUUCUUACAGAAGCUCAGUCUAGUAUUGUUUGGCCACAUUAAUUGGAUUUCUUGGAAACAGCGAUUGAGACUGGACAGUUUCCAACCAAACCAAUCUUCCAUUAAUUGGAAUUUUGGGAAAAUGUAGUAAUUUAAUGCGUUCAAUCUGCUCCUUCACCUUCCUAUAACAUCCUGAGGUUUAGCUUAUAUAGCAGAGGAUGCAGAGGCUUCACCACAUUGCUGUAAUAUGUUAUCUUAGAUUUUUCCCCAAACAAUCAUUAGUUUCUGACCAUCUCAAAGAUGAGCUCGACAUCAUCAACAACGUCAAGCAGGAUGAGGGAUCCCAUAAUGACCCGGCCCUGCAUAUUACAAUUUAUUGCAGCAUUUCACAAUGAGAAGGACUAUAUAUAAAUACCUUCAUUCUACCAUUCACAGUGGGCGCCACGUUAUCCAAAAUUCGCCCGGUUUAACUAUGAUGGAGCCUCAUACCAAAUACGCCUCAGACAAUAUCAAUGAAAAUUGUUCUUUGCUAAUGACCUAAAACAGUUGAGGAAGCACUUAAAUAUCUACAAGUCAGUUACUAUCAACUUUAUGGUCUAUGAACACAGAUGGAAUUUUGAUCUUCAUUUCAGUCCUUCGCUUGAACAACAGGCAUGAGGCAGACGAUUGAACCAUGAUAUAAAAAAAACUUGAAUUAUGAACAUGCUAACGAUUGAACCAUCAUGUCACGAUUAUUCUAAAUGCUAGCCUUCU